GACGAACGCUGGCGGCGUGCUUAACACAUGCAAGUCGAACGGAAAGGCCCUGCUUGCAGGGUGCUCGAGUGGCGAACGGGUGAGUAACACGUGGGUGAUCUGCCCCUUACUUUGGGAUAAGCCUGGGAAACUGGGUCUAAUACUGGAUAGGACCAUGCUGUAGGUGGUGUGGUGGAAAGAUUAGUUUCGGUAAGGGAUAAGCUCGCGGCCUAUCAGCUUGUUGGUGGGGUAAUGGCCUACCAAGGCGUCGACGGGUAGCCGGCCUGAGAGGGUGGACGGCCACAUUGGGACUGAGAUACGGCCCAGACUCCUACGGGAGGCAGCAGUGGGGAAUAUUGCACAAUGGGCGCAAGCCUGAUGCAGCGACGCCGCGUGGGGGAUGACGGCCUUCGGGUUGUAAACUCCUUUCAGCCAUGACGAAGCCCUUGUGGUGACGGUAGUGGUAGAAGAAGCACCGGCUAACUACGUG
rnacentral:rRNA from 1 species